rnacentral:rRNA from 1 species
UUAGAUACCCUGGUAGUCCACGCCGUAAACUAUCAAUACUCGUUUUCAGCGAUAUACAGUUGGAGACUAAGCGAAAGUGAUAAGUAUUGCACCUGGGGAGUACGAUCGCAAGGUUGAAACUCAAAGGAAUUGACGGGGGCCCGCACAAGCGGUGGAGCAUGUGGUUUAAUUCGAUGCAACGCGAAGAACCUUACCUGGUCUUGACAUCCUGCGAACUUUCUAGAAAUAGAUUGGUGCCUUCGGGAACGCAGUGACAGGUGCUGCAUGGCUGUCGUCAGCUCGUGUCGUGAGAUGUUGGGUUAAGUCCCGUAACGAGCGCAACCCCUAUCCUUAUUUGCCAGCACAUCAUGGUGGGAACUAUAAGGAGACUGCCGGUGAUAAACCGGAGGAAGGCGGGGACGACGUCAAGUCAUCAUGGCCCUUACGACCAGGGCUACACACGUGCUACAAUGGGAAGGACAAAGAGCCGCGAAGCCGCGAGGUGUAGCUAAUCUCAUAAACCUUUUCGUAGUCCGGAUUGGAGUCUGCAACUCGACUCCAUGAAGUCGGAAUCGCUAGUAAUCGUAGAUCAGAAUGCUACGGUGAAUACGUUCCCGGGUCUUGUACACACCGCCCGUCAUACCAUGGGAGUGGGUUGCACCAGAAGUGGCUAGUCUAACUUUAUUGAGGACGGUCACCACGGUGUGAUUCAUGACUGGGGUAAAGUCGUAACAAGGUAGCCCUACCGGAAGGUGGGGCUGGAUCACCUCCUUA